ACACUUUAUAUCAGUUAAAAUUAAAAUAUCGAUGUACGUAGCUGGUAAUUAAUGAAUGAUGUGCAUGUGUUUCUUUGUUUUUAAGCCUCCAUAGUUCAGGCUUCAAUAAACAUUUUAAGCAAUGUUUGCUAGUCAAAUUGUAGUUAAAACAGUAAAAAUGUAUAACUUAAAUAAUAUUUUAAUUUCAAACAAAUAUGAUUCUAUACUGUAUUGCCGAAUGUAUAUAUUAUGGUGCCAGUAUAGCAAGCGACACAAAAUUAGCCAAAUUAAUAUCAUAUAAAAAAAACACUAACUGUUUACCUAUAUCAAGUAAAAAACAUUCAAUUUGGAUUCAAAAUACAAUAAAAAAUAUAAACAUACAUGGAUUAAAAGGAACUAGAUGUCACUGUUAAAGGUGUCAAUGAAAAAUACAACACAACCUUGUACUGUAAUAUGCUUCCAAACCAAUAAAAACAGUUGAUUGAAAAUUCUAAAAAAAUUUUAAAAUGUUGGAUUCGAAUACUAAAGUAUACUGAAGCAUGUAAUAUACUCCUAGUGGUACAAAUAAGGGAACAAAUGUUAAGAAAUGAUUUUAAAAAAAUACAAGUCACAAGUGACUACAUAAUAAAGUCCGAAUUCGGGUAAAUGUACUGAGUGUGCAGU